UAGGGAAUCUUCGGCAAUGGACGGAAGUCUGACCGAGCAACGCCGCGUGAGUGAAGAAGGUUUUCGGAGCGUAAAGCUCUGUUGUUAGAGAAGAACGUUGGUAGGAGUGGAAAAUCUACCAAGUGACGGUAACUAACCAGAAAGGGACGGCUAACUACGUGCCAGCAGCCGCGGUAAUACGUAGGUCCCGAGCGUUGUCCGGAUUUAUUGGGCGUAAAGCGAGCGCAGGCGGUUCUUUAAGUCUGAAGUUAAAGGCAGUGGCUUAACCAUUGUACGCCUUGGAAACUGGAGGACUUGAGUGCAGAAGGGGAGAGUGGAAUUCCAUGUGUAGCGGUGAAAUGCGUAGAUAUAUGGAGGAACACCGGUGGCGAAAGCGGCUCUCUGGUCUGUGACUGACGCUGAGGCUCGAAAGCGUGGGGAGCAAACAGG
rnacentral:rRNA from 1 species